UACGAAGGGGGCUAGCGUUGCUCGGAAUCACUGGGCGUAAAGGGUGCGUAGGCGGGUCUUUAAGUCAGGGUGAAUCCUGGAGCUCAACUCCAGAACUGCCUUGAUACUGAAGAUCUUGAGUUCGGGAGAGGUGAGUGGAACUGCGAGUGUAGAGGUGAAAUUCGUAGAUAUUCGCGAAGAACACCAGUGGCGAAGGCGGACUCA
rnacentral:rRNA from 1 species